rnacentral:rRNA from 1 species
AGCUAACGCGUUAAACAGGGCGCCUGGGGAUUACGGCCGCAAGGCUAAAACUCAAAGGAAUUGACGGGGACCCGCACAAGCAGUGGAGCGCCUGGUUUAAUUCGAUGAUCAGCGAAGAACCUCACCUGGGCUUGAACUAUAGCUGCAUCCCGGCAGAAACGCCGGGAGCCUUCGAGGGUGCUAUAGAGGUGCUGCAUGGCUGUCGUCAGCUCGUGUCGUGAGAUGUAGGGUUAAGUCCCACAACGAGCGCAACCCCUAUUCUGUAUUACAAUUAUUCAGAAGACUGCCUCGCCACAACGAGGAGGAAGGAGGGGACGACGUCCAGUCAUCAUAUCCCUUAUGUCCAGGGCUACACAGACGCUACAAUGGCUACUACAACGGGUUGCCAAGCCGCAAGGCGGAGCCAAUCCCAUCAAAAGUAGCCUCAGUUCAGAUUGCAGGCUGCAACUCGCCUGCAUGAAGCCGGAAUUGCUAGUAAUCGCGUAUCAGCACGGCGCGGUGAUACGUUCUCGGGUCUUGUACACACCGCCCAUCAGGGCACGGGAGUUGCUCUUGCUCAAAGUCUCACUUUAUGUGGGCCAA